AGGCGGGCAGUUUGACUGGGGCGGUCGCCUCCUAAAGAGUAACGGAGGCGUAUAAAAGGUAGGCUUGAAUAGGCUGUAUUCCCCUAUUUCGUACGCAUAAUAGCAUAUGCCUGCUUGACUGUUAGAUAGUACAAAUCGAUCAGGGACGAAAGUCGAUUAUAGUGAUCCGGUGAUUCCUCAUGGAAGGGUCACCGCUCAACGGAUAAAAGGUACGCCGGGGAUAACAGGCUAAUCAUUCUUUAGAGACCCUAUCGACAGAAUGGUUUGGCACCUCGAUGUUGGAUUAUCGCAUCCUGGAGCUGAAAAAGGUUCCAAGGGUUUAGCUGUUCGCUAAGUAACGCGGUACAUGAUCUGAGUUUAGAACGUCGUGAGACAGUUUGGUCCCUAUCUACCAUGAGCAGGAAAAUUGAGAGGGGUUAAUUCUAGUACGAGAGGACCGAAAAGAAUAAACCUAUUGUGGAUCAGCUGUUGCACCAUCAGCAAUGUUGAAUAGCUACGUUUAUAAAAGAUAAUCGCUGAAAUCAUCUAAGCGAGAAACUAUCCUCAAGAUAUAUUUUCUUCAAGGCGUAAAAGAUUAUUACGUUAAUAGGCUUUAAGUGCAAUAAUCGCAAGAUUAUCAGCUUAAAAGCACUAACA
rnacentral:rRNA from 12 species